GUAGCUUUUAAGUGCUUCACAGCACGGCGGUCGUAACUCGGAAGUCGUAAUAACUUGAAUCGUGUACGGACUUCCCAGUUAGAUUUCAAUGAAGGACUACAGCGUCGACGACACAGACAAGCUAGACAGUUCGGUUCAAAACAAUCCGGCACCACAACAACAACAACAACACGAGGGGGAUGGGUUACAUCGGCUUCUGGUACCUGAUGCACGCGACCUUCCUCUUAUCCCUCCCUCUGCGGUUGAAUCCAACUUUGUUUCCUACUUUGCUCCAGAUUUCAUCAAGCCAGGACACGACCAGUACGUUUACCGCCAUGCCAAUGGACUCUGUGUAAUUGGCUUGGCUCCGACGCACGUUGCAUUUAAAGAUAGCGGUGGUAUCACGGCCGUCGAUUUCAACGUUGGGAGGUCUGAUCGCAGUGUCCUUAAGGUCACCGGGAAACGCAAGAAGAAUGCGCAACAAUUUGAACCAAACACAGCUUUGUGUAAAGUUUGCACCAAUGAUGAUUCUUAUAUAGUGAGAUGUUGUGUGAAAGGCUCUCUAUUGGAAGUCAAUGAUAGGUUAAUCAAGCUGCCAGGUUUGCUUAAUUCAUCGGCCAAGUACUUAUACAUGAUACGAUGAUCUUCAGCAAUGGUAUUUGAGAAUGUAACAGUCAAUGGAGUUAUAGAAAAAAAAAAGAGCAAGGCAGGAGAAUAGUGAUUGUGUGGGCAGAUAGAGAAGGAUACGUUGCCAUUAUCAUGCCAAAACCAGCAGAUUGGCUCAAAGCCAAGGGAUUGUUGCUGGGCCUCGAAGAGUAUAAGAAGUUGAGGGAUUGUUAAGUCAUUGGAAUGUUUUGUUACUUUACUGAGUCAGGAAAAAUGAGCCAAGAGAAGCGUUGCCCCUUGUUAAGUGUAUUUUGCAUUUGUGUGCCCCCUCGUCGAUUUAUUUGACGGCCCUGCCUGGUAAAACUCACCACUGGUGACGAGCUUCACGACGUUAAUGUUUUAUAUAUUUUAAAUCUUUGUGGGGGAAGCUUGGUUUU